GAUGAAGAACGUAGCGAAAUGCGAUACUUGGUGUGAAUUGCAGAAUCCCGUGAACCAUCGAGUCUUUGAACGCAAGUUGCGCCCGAAGCCGUCAGGCCGAGGGCACGCCUGCCUGGGCGUCACACGCCGUUGCCCCCCCGCGCCCCGCACCCAACUCUUUGGGAGCGACCGCGGGGCGGGCUGAUGAUGGCCUCCCGUGCGCUCCGCCGCGCGGUUGGCCCAAAUACCGAGUCCCCGGCGACGUGCGCCACGACGAUCGGUGGUUGAGAGACCUCUGUCGCAAGUCGUGCGCGCCCGUCGCGUCACGCGGGCUCGCAUAGCGCCUCGCGCCGCACCCGGUGCGGAGCUUUCAACGCGACCCCAGGUCAGGCGGGGUUACCCGCUGAAUUUAAGCAUAUCAAUAAGCGAGGA
rnacentral:misc_RNA from 1 species